CAGCAGCAGCCACGGUAAUACAGAGGGUGCGAGCGUUAAUCGGAUUUACUGGGCGUAAAGCGUGCGUAGGCGGCUUUUUAAGUCGGAUGUGAAAUCCCUGAGCUUAACUUAGGAAUUGCAUUCGAUACUGGGAAGCUAGAGUAUGGGAGAGGAUGGUAGAAUUCCAGGUGUAGCGGUGAAAUGCGUAGAGAUCUGGAGGAAUACCGAUGGCGAAGGCAGCCAUCUGGCCUAAUACUGACGCUGAGGUACGAAAGCAUGGGGAGCAAACAGGAUUAGAUACCCCAGUAGUCCCUGUCUCUUAUAC
rnacentral:rRNA from 1 species